UCAGCAGUUAGGGUGUGCACUGUUUUCUGA
rnacentral:piRNA from 1 species